GACAGAGGGUGCAAGCGUUGUUCGGAAUUAUUGGGCGUAAAGGGCGCGUAGGCGGCCUCGCAAGUCAGAUGUGAAAUCCCUGGGCUUAACCCAGGAACUGCAUCUGAUACUGCUUGGCUUGAAUCUCGGAGAGGGUGGUGGAAUUCCUGGUGUAGAGGUGAAAUGCGCAGAUAUCAGGAAGAACACCGAUGGCGAAGGCAGCUCUCUGGGACGGUACUGACGCUGAGACGCGAAAGCGUGGGGAGCGAACAGG
rnacentral:rRNA from 1 species